UACGGGGGGAGCAAGCGUUGUUCGGAUUUACUGGGCGUAAAGGGCGCGUAGGCGGUCGUGACAAGUCACUUGUGAAAUCUCCGGGCUUAACUCGGAAAGGUCAAGUGAUACUGUCGGACUAGAGUACAGAAGGGGCAACUGGAAUUCUCGGUGUAGCGGUGAAAUGCGUAGAUAUCGAGAGGAACACCUGCGGCGAAGGCGGGUUGCUAGGCUGAUACUGACGCUGAGGAGCGAAAGCGUGGGGAGCGAACAGG
rnacentral:rRNA from 1 species